CUCCACUGUGCUGCUGUUGCCUGUAAGAGCCUCCACUCAUACAGAGAGGAGAGGACAGAUGCAGGGGCCCCUGAGCCAGCCAAUCACCCUCAGGGGUCAGACAUCAUUAUCUCCAAGCUGGUAAUUUCUCACACCAGUGGAUACCAUUGCAGUAGCCUCUCUGGAUGAAAUAAAGAAAAAAAAAGAAAACUAGAAGAGGAAACUGAGGGGAAAAAAACAACAAAAAAAGAAAAGAGAAUAUUAUCUCCACUUUGGACAAAGGAAACAACAGAUAAUCUACAAUAAAAAUCUUUAUCUCAA